CGCGCUACUCCGGCGCCAGGACUGUCCUC
rnacentral:sRNA from 1 species